UACCGAGUUAGGGUCUUCCAGGCCCGACCUCCCAACCCUUUGUUGACUAUACCAUGUUGCUUUGGUGGGCCCGCCUUUAGGGGCUCCCGGGGACAUUUAUGCCCCUGGUCAGUGCCCGCCAGUAGCCUUCUAAAAUUCUUUUCUAAUUAUGUCGUCUGAGUACAAAUAUAUCAAUCGUUAAAACUUUCAACAACGGAUCUCUUGGUUCUGGCAUCGAUGAAGAACGCAGCGAAAUGCGAUAAGUAAUGCGAAUUGCAGAAUUCAGUGAGUCAUCGAAUCUUUGAACGCAUAUUGCGCCCUUUGGUAUUCCGAAGGGCAUGCCUGUUCGAGCGUCAUUAUCAACCAUCAAGCCUAGCUUGUCGUUGGACCUCUUUUGCCACUGAAAUAUAUGUGGCAGGUCCGAAAGAAAAUGACGGUGUCGUGUUUGACCCUAGAUGCAACGAGCUUUUCAUAGCACGCAUUGAAGUGGUCGGGCGACCUAGUCUUAACUAUUUUUUCUAAAGGUUGACCUCGGAUCAGGUAGGAAUACCCGCUGAACUUAAGCAUAUCAAUAAGCGGAGGAAAAGAAACCAACAGGGAUUACCCUAGUAACGGCGAGUGAAGCGGUAAUAGCUCAAAUUUGAAAUCUGACCUUCACGGGUUCGAGUUGUAAUUUGUAGAGGAUGUUUCGGGCAAAGACUUUUGGUUUAAGUUUCUUGGAACAGAACGUCAUAGAGGGUGAGAGUCCCGUCUAGAACCGAUAGUCGCUGUCCAUGUGAAACUCCUUCGAUGAGUCGAGUUGUUUGGGAAUGCAGCUCAAAAUGGGUGGUAAACUCCAUCUAAGGCUAAAUAUUGGCGAGAGACCGAUAGCGCACAAGUAGAGUGAUCGAAAGAUGAAAAGCACUUUGAAAAGAGAGUUAAACAGUACGUGAAAUUGUUGAAAGGGAAGCGCUUGAGACCAGACUCGGUGAUAGGUGAUCAGCGGUUGCUUUUGCUCCGUGCACUUGCCUUUUACUGGGCCAGCAUCAGCUGCGACGGUGCGAUAAAGACUCAGGGAAUGUGGCUCUCUUAGGGGAGUGUUAUAGCCCUGGGUGUAAUGCCACCCUGUUGCGACUGAGGACCGCGC
rnacentral:rRNA from 1 species